rnacentral:rRNA from 1 species
AGAACGAACGCUGGCGGCAGGCCUAACACAUGCAAGUCGAACGCUCCAGCAAUGGAGAGUGGCAGACGGGUGAGUAACACGUGGGAACCUUCCCUAUGGUUCGGAAUAGCUCAGGGAAACUUGAGGUAAUACCGGAUAAGCCCUUCGGGGGAAAGAUUUAUCGCCAUUGGAUGGGCCCGCGUCGGAUUAGCUAGUUGGUGGGUAACGGCCUACCAAGGCAACGAUCCGUAGCUGGUCUGAGAGGAUGAUCAGCCACACUGGGACUGAGACACGGCCCAGACUCCUACGGGAGCAGCAGUGGGAAUAUUGGACAAGUGGGCGCAAGCCUGAUCCAGCCAUGCCGCGUGAGUGAGAAGGUCUCGGAUUAGUAAAUCUUUGGCGGGGACGAUAAUGACGGUACCGCAGAAUAACGCCCGCUAACUCGUGCCAGACACGCCGC